rnacentral:tRNA from 1 species
UGGAGACGCCAGCCGAUGGGCGCCGGCCGCCGCCUCGAAAGCGGUUGGGGGUAGUGAUAUCCCGUAUGGGUUCGAUUCCCAUCGUCUCCGU